GACGAACGCUGGCGGCGCGCUUAACACAUGCAAGUCGAACGGAAAGGCCUGCUUUCCCUUGUGGAUUGCGGGUACUCGAGUGGCGAACGGGUGAGUAACACGUGAGUGAUCUGCCCCCAACUUGGGUAUAAGCCUGGGAAACUGGGUCUAAUUACCGAUAGGACGGCAGGGUGGUGCCUGUGGUGGAAAACGCUUUUCUAGUGGUUGGGGAUGAGCUCGCGGCCUCUCAGCUUGUUGGUGGGGGAAUGGCCUACCAAGGCGGCGACGGGUAGCCGGCCUGAGAGGGUGGACGGCCACAUUGGGACUGAGAUACGGCCCAGACUCCUACGGGAGGCAGCAGUGGGGAAUAUUGCACAAUGGGCGGAAGCCUGAUGCAGCGACGCCGCGUGGGGGAUGACGGCCUUCGGGUUGUAAACUCCUUUCGACCGCGAGGAAGCCACCUGGUUGGAAGGGUGGUGACGGUAGUGGUAGAAGAAGCACCGGCUAACUACGUG
rnacentral:rRNA from 1 species